UUAUCUUAGGAGGAGCUGAAACAUUUCGAAGCAAAAAUUGAAAAGCACCAUCAUUACCAGAAGCAAUUAGAGAUUUCACACCAGAAACUGAAGCACGUAGAGGGAACUGGAGACAGGAUCAUCUGAACAGAAACAAAGAGAAAUAUGCCAUGCUGCAAGAAAAGACAAAAGAACUAGGAUAUAAGGUAAAGAAACACUUGCAAGACUUAUCCAGCAGAAUCUCUCAAGGUCUUCAACACAAUGAACUAUAAGAAUUUGUUCUGCUUCAUGGGAUCAGUCUGUUAACACAAAGCAGUUAAUGUGAUUUUUUGAACAGGGCUUACCAAGGAGUCCUUCUGAAAUAGUAAGGAUUGAACAGAGUGUCCUGUAAGAUUUUUUUUUGUCUACUUCAUUACCAAUUUUGUAUUUGCACUGUAAAAAAAUUAAAUUAUUAGAUUAAAUAUUUAGGUUGCACAUCGUGGAUCAUAAAAAUCUUACAUCUGAAUCAAGUAGCAGCCUUUGAAAUAAUCAGUUUUGUCAAAAGGAAAAAAUAUGUGAACUCUCAAAGGAUUUCUGCUAGUAAAAAAAUACUUAUCUUAUAAUCAGGUAAGGUAUUCUGAUUAAUGAAAGCAAACACUGAGGUACAGAAAGGUUAAGCAGAGGCCUGAAAAGUCUUUAUUUCAAUCCUUGGCCUAUUACAUUUCCUACUUAAGGUUACAAAAAUAUUUUUACUGACUUUGAGCAGUGGCUCAGAGCUGCACUGCUGCACUGUAUAUGAAACUUUCCUGUGAGAGGGGGAGGGAGUAAGGAGGGAACAAGUACUGAGGUCAAUUUGCACAGUUUAGUUAUUGACUAACGUGUGUGUGUACAGUUAUCUUCUUCAUGGUUGCUUUGGUUUUGCUACACUUGGUCAUUAAAAAAUCAAAACAAA